UACGGAGGGUGCAAGCGUUAUCCGGAUUCACUGGGUUUAAAGGGUGCGUAGGUGGGCAGGUAAGUCAGUGGUGAAAUCUCCGGGCUUAACCCGGAAACUGCCGUUGAUACUAUCUGUCUUGAAUAUCGUGGAGAUGAGCGGAAUAUGUCAUGUAGCGGUGAAAUGCUUAGAUAUGACAUAGAACACCAAUUGCGAAGGCAGCUCGUUACACGGUUAUUGACGCUGAGGCACGAAAGCGUGGGGAUCAAACAGG
rnacentral:rRNA from 1 species